UGGGCCUGUUGUGCGUCCUCACAAAAAAAAAUCUCGCCGGUCCACACGCUCUCCCCCGGAAACGCUUCUUCUCGUCUUCCCCAGUUCUGCCGCCGCCGCCGCCUACCUCUGCCCCAACCUUGCCACCUCCUCUGCCCGUCUACCGUCCUUCCGUCACACCCCGAGGCCCUCAUCACCUCUUCCCACCCGCUCAUCUGCUUUGUGCCGUCGGCCUCCCUCUCGUCCGCUAACCGGCCAUCGCGACGGGGAGCUAGAUCUGCGCCGACACGCCUCAUCAUCGCCUUCGUCUUCUGCUGUGUGCCUACACAUCGGCUAUAGGGACAAGGACCUCGCCGGCUCGCGCAUAAUAGGUCAACGGCAAGCAGUGGAGGUGCAGCAGCGGUCGACGAUGGUGGACCAGAUCAGCGCGUCAUGGGGGUGGACUCCAAGGCCGUCACGUGCAGAGAAGAGAGAGGCCGGCACGGCGGCCGGGCGCGGUCUGGAGAACCGGUGGCCGGUAGUGCGCGAUAUGGGCGUGCGCGACCUGCGUGAGUUGGAGGCGAGGUGGCAUCCUUGACUAGCAUGCCGUCGUAGAUCCUCAUCGUGCCUCCAGGAGAGGAGCUCGUCGAGGAUCCCCUCUUCUCCACGGAUCCAUGAUGGAGGGUCAUAUAUGGAGGACUGGAUUUGAAUGGAAAGAAUUGGAAGGAGUUUUUUUUUCCGGAUGUUCCUGAGGCACUAAAGAACUUGCAUUCUCACCGAAUGAAGGUAUGUAUAUAUUUGGUCAAACUCUUCUGAGAUGUGAAUUGGGCUUUUAAGGCAUAAAACUAGAUUGUCACUGGCUGUGUUUAUUGUUCAUACUUCGUAAAUGAGUGAUUUAGGUCAGAAAGUUGUCUCCUGAGCUAAAGUGUCAAGAAUAAUACCCAUAGCAGAACUCUGUGAAUCAUUCACACACAAAAAAGAGUGUACUUCUGCAACGUGCUGAACCAUUGAGAAAGUCAUCAAAUAUUCAGUUGCUCUACGGUUUGUCUAUUCUACUUUCAUAUAUGCAAAUCAAUAUCGGUUUGAAUAAAGCAGAAUGAUAUGAUGCUAUGGAAUGCUCAGUCCAUCACCAUACUGAGAAAUAAGAUUGUUUUUUUGGCUGGUAGAUUGUCAAAAGUCGUAAUGUAGUGAAGCAUAGAGUAUUAGUUGGACAUGGUAGAUGUAACCGAGCUCUGUUAUAAUUAAAAGAGAAUAAGUAAAAAUGCGAGGAGAUCAAGAAGUUGAUAGUUGAGCUGGACUACUUGAGGAAGCGGCUUCAGGAGCUCAAACCCAACAACAACUGUGGCUUCGGAAAAGAUGUAAGCUCUCCUGUUAUAAGAUUGGUUGCAUGUUCUUUAAUUAGCAAUUGUUCUCGUCAUUUAUAAUUUACUUGCUCACUUUUUUCUCACCAAUAGUUAUUAUAUGAAAGGAAUUGCUGGACAUGAUGUUUGUUUGACCAAAACCCUUUCGUUGUGGUUUCUCCAUAUGAAUUUUCUGAAGAAAAUAUGUCAAUCCGGUUCUCCACUUAUGCAACUCUAAAAGUAAAAAAAAUUAGAGACUACUUUGUGUUGAUUUAAUUAUAUCUUUGUUUGCCUACUUUCAUCUAGGUUGAUCUAGUCUUAUGGAACUAAUUUUGGUGAUGAAAUAUCUUCCCUCGAACUGAUGAAAAUAUUUCCCUUUUUUCCUUGCAGCCUUAGUAAUUAGUUUUACAACUCUGCAACUACAAUAUACAUUCUAAUCUGAGCCUUAGUAAUUAGUUUUACAACUCUGCAACUGCAAUAUACAUUCUAAUCUGUGAUGGAUGUGGGUACAUAUCUGACAUUGUUUCUGUUGUACCAGUGUUUCCUGGUAUGUUUCUGUUCCUUUCUCAAAUUUGUAUUCAUUCAAGUGGCCAUUUGGCGCUCAGAUACGAAGUAUUUGGCCACUGACGUUUGAAUGAAAAUCAGUUGCUGGAUGCUCAUUUAUGGUCCUUUUUUCCUUGUUCUUUUGCUGUACACACUACAAAUCAGUUUCACGAAUUUCUGAUAUGAUUGCUUCAAUGAUGAUUUUUGUAGAAGAACUUGCCUUUGGAAUUAAAGAAGAUUGCUUUGACACUGACCAGAGACAUACGAAGGAGUGAGCUAAUUCCGUUGUACUGUGCUUCAUGCUUUUUUAUCAUUGUUUGCGUCUUAAAAAAUUCCCUACAGAUUUCAGGGCUAGCAAAUAUGCUAAAGAUAGGUACAGAGAAGGCAAUCAGUGCACUGGAUUCGAUAUUGAUGCGAGAAAAAAUGCCUUUGGGUCGAAGCCCACUUACUGUUAUUCUCAUGGUGUUUUACCCAAAGGAUGUUAAUCAGCACCUUACUUUUGAGUUUCAAAGUUCAAGCGAUUAUUACUUAUCUAUUUAUCUAUAUUACAGUGAAUAAGCCCACUUACUAAUAUUCUAUGCAAGGAGAAAUAUGAAGUAUAUAUUCUAUGCAAAACCAUCAUAAUAAUGUGUAAAGUUCUGAGUUUAUUGAACAAAAUCACCAUUGAAAAAUAGAAAUGCAUUAGACCUUGGAGGUUACUUGUGAAAAGGAAGUGCUUCAGGUUACUCUUUGACUGUUUGUAGAUCUUCUUUCUGUAAGCUCGUGGUUUCUUCAAGGACUUGAACGGUGUGUAUAUAUUAACUAGCUGAAGAAGGAAGGAAAAUGGAAAGAAUAUGAGAUGCAUAAACUCCCGACUUUAAAUCAGAAGCAAGAAAAUGGUCAAUUUUCACAUUUAUUUCCUUUCUCGUGGCUUCAAAAUAACUUCGUAGUUAUGCAAGCUUGCUCCGUGUAGGGUUUACAACGAAAAACUGAAGAAGUUGUGAUGGACUGAAAAAAUUGCUCAAAGCAAAGGCGUCCACUCGGGAUACAUAUUUCUAGAAGCUAUAGAGAGUGUAUUUAUGUAUUCAUAGGUAUAUGAUCACUUUCUCCGCUCCCAUUUGUAUGCAUUAUGGUUUACCUUUGGAAAAAGCUGUUGUGUAGUAUUUCUAUGUGUUUCGGUACGCAUACAUCUGGUUAUUUUUAUUCUGGAGAAUUGAAUUAGUGAAGUGGCCGGUGAUAAGAAGAAGAGAGAUAUACCAUUCACUUGUGUGUUAGUUAUUGCUUCAAACAUGGCAAUCAAAGCCUACAGAAAAAUUCAAACAAUUAAUUAGAGAUCCUCUUCAUUAGAUAAAAUAGAGUUUGCCUGAUUCUUAGAUAGCUUGCUUGCAUUUGCUCUGUUAUUUUCAAUAUAAAUGUAUUGAGUUACUGUGACUAACAUGACACUUGAAUAUUCAGUCUGUGUGUUAGAUGUGAGUGAUGGAUAGGGUCACACUCACACUUCUCUUCCUCCAUUUAUGUUUUUGUCUUGAACUUCGUUUUGGUGCACACCUCCUCUGGAGACUUACUUAUCUUUCUCAUUGUCGUCCUCCUACAAAUUCAGCUUAUGCGCUUGUUGGUUAGCUUGUGAGUAAGGUGUCGUUUGAGGUGAUUCUCCCAUUUAUCUUAUUUAUCUUAUUAUUAUGUCAACAUGGUACACUAGGUGUCAGGUUUAUGUCCACUACAUUUGUAUCUUACAAUACUAAAUUUGUUUGCUUUUAUUUGAUAAGUUACCAGAGCUUCCAGCCUUCCAGCCUUAAUGUGAGUACAUUAUACCGUCGAGCUUUGUUUUCACUAGAUUUGUAGAGCUAUGCUAGAGUGUUAAAAAGGGUACAUAUGCCAUCUUCUACAAUUAAAGCUUUUUUGUCAAUCUUAUCUUACCUAUGAAUGCCCUCACAGAAAACAUGUUAAUAUUUGUUCCAUUGUCUUUCAGGAGGGCCACAAGGCUAGGACGGUUUGCCAGAGCAACAUAUCCCCUCCCUGCUACAAAGGAUUGAUUCUUUUAACCAGGUUUGGAAUUGAAGUAUUAGCUAGAGAACUAUAUUAAAAUGUUAGCUUGCCGCACGUUACCUUCAUCAGUCUGAUUAGACUAUGCUUCAGCAUAACAGCUAGGCCUUGCAUAAGUAAAACAGAUGCGCCAUUGUAUUUUUACAAAUACAAUGGUCUAUUUUCGAACGAAAAUGCUUUAUUAGUAUAAAUAAUGGUUCAGUGUUAAUCGAAAGUACAAAGAUCUAUUUUAGUGUUUUUUGCAUUAGAAGAGAGUAAGGUGCGAAACUGACUCAUCUGAUUUCCUGUAUUUUAGAUAGGGUUCCAAAUAUCAAUCAGAUAUUAAUUAUCUGUGAAAAAUCCUUAGCAUGUGGCCAUCUAAAUUUAUUUGUUUUACUAAGCCGCACAAACCAGAUUUGUACAUGUAGACCCUGUGUCGAUCGACAAGGUGGAAAUAGAAUUCUCUCGAAAGAAAAAGGGGAUAUGUAGAUUUUGUGUGCGAGUAAAACUAGGAUAGAUAGAUAGAUAGAUAAGGUGUACUACCUCGGAUUGGCUUUUGCUGAAUGGAUUGUUACUUUUGUCUUGCACUGAACUAAACAAGUGCCCAUGCAGUUUCAGAAUCUGAACUUCUGUCUCAUUAAACAAGAAGAGCGAGGCCGGUCAUCCAUGAUGCAUUUAUAGAUCCAUUUGAUGACGAGUCCCAUCCCAUCUUGAAUACCCCUAUUUAUUUCAAGGGUACUAGCUAGCAUUACCGUGUUUGUGUUUGCUGAUUAAGUUUUGAGAUUAAUAGCUAUUAUUCUCAUUCUGUAUGUUUUAUAUAUGACACCUUCUGUACAUACUGAUGUCCAGAUAAAUCAGCUAUGUAGUCUUAAUAUUUCAUAUAUACUAUCAAUUUUUGCCUCAAGCUUUAAAUCAGUUAUGUGUUGUGCAACACAUAUCAUGAGAGUGACCACUCCAAGAUUUUAAUGUUGGUAAUUAUGUAUGGUCCUAGCCAUAUUUGAUAUCAUAUUGUAGGCAAGGUAUAGUCGAUACUGUCAUUCUUCUUUUUGCGGUUAAAAGAUAGGACAAUUCAGUUGUGCAAGAAGAAUUUUAGAGGUUACUUCAGUACUUUGGGUCAUUAGUUUGAAGAAAACAUUUUAGGCUUUCUCUUCUGCUGUUGUUCAUGCGGAUAUCAUUUUUCUUUUAUUCUUGUGUUAACUAAGAAAAGGUUAUACCAUAUUAGUUGGAACUUUAUCUCAGAUUCUUUGUUUGCAAACUGAUUUGUUGAACUUUUGGUGUAAGGAGAUCAACUAUGUCUUGCUUGCAUUGCAUGCUACAACACUUCGGUGAAGAAAUAUGCGAUAUAAGAGGCAGGGCAGCGCGUCCGGCUACCCUACGAGAAGAAGUGCGUGCAGCUGAGGACCCAGGAUGCCAACGAUGUGGAGCCGUUCACCAUUGAGGGGACCAGGGCUGCCAUCAGGGACCUCCAGACCAAGGUCAACAUCUCUGCCGUCUUCAUCGACGGCGUGUCCCGAAGUGUCAUUGCCGUCCGUAAUGACUCAUCUAAAUGUACGUAUUUUUAUGAAGCACACAACGGAUGAGGUGAGUGUGCUCCUCUCGGACUCGCCGCACGGUUAGAGGGAGGCAUCAAUGGCACGCCGCCGCUCGUAACAUGCAGCAAUUUCUAUUGUUGUAUCUUAUGUUGCCAUGCAACAAGAUGCUUCUGUCGAUGGCAUUAUAUUGUUGUGUGUUGCCUGUGAUGGCAUUUUAGUUUCUUUCUCACAUGAUGCAUCUAUAUAAUAAGAUUCUCAAGAAUUGAAUGUAUGUGUUAUCUAGAUCAAAAAAGGAAACUGAAAGGUUCAUUUCUUUACUUGGCA